UACGAGGGGGGCAAAUGUUGUUCGGAAUCACUGGGCGUAAAGGGAGCGUAGGCGGGUUUUUAAGUCAGGUGUUUAAUCCCGGGGCCCAACCCCGGACAGGCACUUGAAACUGGGAAUCUUGAAUAGUGGAGAGGUCGGUGGAAUUGGGGGUGUAGCGGUGGAAUGCGUAGAGAUCCCUAAGAACACCCGUUGCGAAGGCGGCCGACUGGACACAUAUUGACGCUGAGGCUCGAAAGCAUGGGGAGCAAACAGG
rnacentral:rRNA from 1 species